ACCAGUCUGGCUCAGUCAGUAGAGCACAUGCCUCUUGAUCUUGGGGUUGUGAGUUCAAACCUCACAUUGGGUG
rnacentral:tRNA from 1 species